UCUAAAAGUGACACUUUCGACAGAAAACAAACCCUCGUGUAUAAACUAAGGAGUUAAAAUACCUAUUAUAAAUCUCCAGUAGAUACUACCUCAGCCUUAACUACAGUGUUCACAGAACAUUUCUGUUGCUACUGUGUGACUAAUCCUGGUUCUUUUCUAGGGUAUUCAGACAUAGCCAUACUUUAGACAUGCAGAUGGAAAGGAGUUUGAGCUCUUUAAGAGAAACUCCUCCCAUAUUCCCAUCCAGCACCACAAUAUUAUGUAUUUCUAAAACUACAGGGGUAGCCCGUUUUCCACCUCCUUUCUAUAUAAUGCAUCACAAACAGAGAGUAGAGAAAUAGGUUUUGAGAACUGUAUUCCUAGGAAAGCUGAUUGGACAACAACAACAACAAAAACAAUGAAAGGAAAUAAAAUCACAGGAAUAUGGCCAAAGCUCCGGCAACCACAUCAAAAGAUGAAAUGUUCUAAGGAUGGCAGACCAAAGAGUUCUAAGGAGUCAGGAUCACCUAACACUGUGAAACCAGCAUCUGAGCUCUAAAUCAACUGUCUGGAUUCCUCCCAGGGAAGAAAACAGUAAACUUAUUUUGCUUAA